UUUCUGGUUGUUCUGGUUUUUCCAAUGCGAGCGUAUAAGUAUUGGACUGACCUUCUCCGUGACCUCUGCGUCUUGUAUCUGGUUCUUCUCAUAAGCCAUAUUCUUUUUCUUUCUGUAAAGCACCCAAAGAACUCCCUAUAUUCACUUGCAUGAAUAAUUGCGUCUGAAAGCUUGAACCUUUGAGGGACUCAUUUAGCCUUGCUUAAAUCGAAGCGCUCUUUAGCUAGAGAGUCAAGUGUGAAUUCUUGCCCAGCCCCAGAGACCAGCACUGAUUUGUAUUAAACCAGGUUGGUUUAAGGAGAAGUGAGGUUGCGGAGCCCCAGCUGACUUCAUUGUGCUCAGCAGUGGUCCCUAUGGAACAUUUAUGGAUGCCCCUGUGUGGGCCCCCUUUUUGGUAUGGUCACCAGUUGGGAAUCCUCUGACCCUCAUAUGGAUUCUGUCUAGGGGUGCAGUCCAGCAUCUCACUGGGAGGUACAGAUAACCCAUAUUUAUUUCCAGGAAGAGAACACCUUUUCAUAGCCCUGGAUGGACUAAAGUUGGUCAAUCUCAAGUCUUUUAGGUUAAUCCCAUCCUGCCGGACAGUAUAAAUGGGCGUGUACCAUAGGAUUUUGAACUUCUUGAAAGAAAAACGUUGGCCCAUUAAGUGUUUGAAUGGGCCCCCGCUCCCUCCCCUGUCCCCCUAGGUUUUACACUAAUUAGUGCAGAGUCUGCCAGCUGGACCCACUCACCUGGCUCCCUCUGGCACCCAGCUCUCUUUCUUCUUCGUACAACCAGGUACGUUGGACUUUAACUCCUCGUUACUCUCAGGAGUAAUCUUCAUCUUGUGGUAGAGAAUUCUUAAAGAAUGAAGGACUUUACUAAGAGGUACAUGUCAUGCAUAUCAUUUAGUUAUUAAAAAUAAACUGGCCCGUGUCCCUGGGAGCUAGCGUGUGUGUGUGUGUGUGUGUGUGUGAGUGUGUGCGUGUGUGUGUUGGUGGUAUUUAGAUAGAUCUAAAAGCAAAUGUGGUCCUGGAUACAGAAUUACUUAAUACGAAGUGUCCCCUUUUUGGUACCCCUGUGUUUAUGGGCAGCACAGGAUGCUGGUUGCGAGUACAGAUUCUGUAGCCAACUAAUCUCUUAAAAAGGGGCCAGGGUCAUAUGGUAGAUGUGCAGAGGGGGCUCGGAGAUUUCGUUUUACAGGGACGUCCUGUCUUCUGUUAAUGAUCUGGGAAGCUAGAGUUACUAGCAGUUGGCCAGAAGGAAAGGUGGUCCUGGGAAUGAGGUCUUCAACAUCUGGGCUGCUAGGAACAGUUCCCGUGGGAAAUGCCAUCCUUCCUCCCUCUCCCCAACCCUCCCACCCUCCACGGUCAUCACCUCUCAGUGCCCUGCGAUUUCCAAGGCCUGUUGCUUUGGCACAGCUUAUAGCCAAGCCUUGUCUUUUCUUCCCUGAAGAAGCUCGCCCAAGUCUUUCAGGAAAUCACUUACAUCAUGGAAACAUGCUGGUGGUGUGAAGUUUCAUCAAUGCACCUCAGAACCAGAAUUGAGGUCCGGGCUGCCAGCUGGAAUGCUUGCUGAAGCCUCAGGCUACCUGCUGUUCUUCGUGGUUCUCCUUGGGAUCACCUUCAGACACAGCACUCCCCACGGGGGCAGAGAGGACCUGUGUGUGGUUGGGUUUGUUGCUACCGAUCUUCAUCCUAUUACUACAGACCUCCCAACUCGUGGAUCUUAUCGUAUCAUAAUCCCAGAAGGAGUCACAAGGAAGGACGAGGUAGCGAGUCCUGGACUGGGGUAAAAGUCUUUUAACUCUGCUCCACCACAGUUAAUUAUGAGGUCCUGGGUCAUUUCUUUUAACCCUUUUGUGUCUCAAUUUUUUGACUCAAAAUAGUCGACGCUUCUGUACUUGACAAAGGUAUGCUGACAAAAUCAACUGUAUGGAAUAUGUGAGAAUGCUCAACACAAAGCAUUGCUGACGUGCAUGUGAGAGUGACUUGAAGGAGGCUUCCUCUUGUGGCCAUCUAUGUGACAGGCAGGAUCUGCCAGAACCUUCUUUUUUGACUGCACAGUCUGCAUAAUCAAGAGCUUUGUGUUCCCUGUAAGGGGACGAGACAAAGGUUGCUGAUAGGGAGAGUGACAGUGUCUUUGAAGUGGGAUGCUGACUUUGCUAGAGAAACUAUUCAUGUGGAGAGGGGAGGAAAGAGAAACGCUCCUAUCUGGCCCAGAGCGAAUUUUAGUUUCUUUCCCCUGGAAAUACCAUUCUCAGGGAGAGGUAAAGAGUUUCUCCUAUGGCCUCAUGAAAAUCUCAGCCACUGCCUUUCCAAAUAGUGUUGCCGUAUGAGAUGCUGACCCUCCUUGUGAACAGGCAGAUGUUUUUCCCUUUGCUGGUGUUACCCAGGCGUGUCCUCCACAUUCAGGAGCUCGGCGGCCACAGUUGUGGCAGCCACAACCUGCUCUGACUGCGUGCCAGCCUCUCACAGCAUCUAGGACAUCCUGGUCCAUCCAGGCCAGGGCCUUUCCCAGCAUGCUCUGGCAUGUGCCGGCUGUGUUCACGUCCUGUUGCUGCUUUAACAAUUAGCCACAAAUGUAGAGGUUUAAAGCAACAUCAGCUUAUUAUCACACAGUUCUGUAGGUCAGAAGUCCAGUAGACUCAGCUGGUUUCUGCUCCAGGUCCCAGAGGGCUGACACCAACAUGUCGCCAGCCUGGACCCUUAUCUGAAGUCUACAGGGAGAAUCUUCUUCCAGGCUCAUUCAGGUGGUUGACUAAAUUCAUGAGGUGUAGGACUCAGGCCCCCUGCUCCAUUCGCUGCCUCCUGGCUCCCUUCCUCUUCAAAGCCAGCGCCAGUGGGUCAAGUCGCUCUCAUACUUUGAGUCUCUCUUGCCUCUUCUUCCAUCCGUCUUUCUAACCUCAGCCAGAAAGUCUCUCCACUUUUAAAGAUUGGCCCCCACCCUGAUAGUUCAGGAUGAUCUCCCAUCUCAACGUCCAUAGCCUUCAAGCUACAGACUCCCUUGUGCCGUGUAAGGUGAUGGGUUCACAGAUGCAUCUUUGGGAGAGGCCGUUGUACUGUUGACCCCACAGGCCUUGAGUAGGGGGUACCCCGGAAGCAGCACUCAAGUGCAGGUGGAUUUGAGAGGUUUUCUGUCUGAACCCAUCCAUGAAGCUCACUAGCAGUCCAUCACUUCUGAGUCUGUUUCUCCCCUCCCUUCCCUUUCCUGCCCUUUCUGUUAAUCUAGGAGAGAGAGGAUGGGAGACAAAAAGCGACAGGCUUAAUAUACAUAUAUACACAUACACACACACGUGUGUGUAUGUAUUUAUAUUUCCUCCCCUGAGUUCAGGUUGAAAAUGUUAACAGAAUGCCCCAUGAGGUCCUUGUUGAACUAGCCCACCCUUCACAAUUUACAGGGACGAUUAUCAUCAUCGUAACUUUGCUCCUGCUCAUUUGGUCCCCACUUAGCUUUGUGGCACCUCCUGAUCCACUGUCAUGCUGGGCUCCUGCCUGGAAAAAGGCAAUCUAAAGCUGAGGUCAAAGUCUCUGAGGGCAGCUGCCCCAGCCGACAUAAAGGACUGUCUGAUAAAACCACCCCAUUUCUCUCCUGGAGAAAAGCCAGAGCCAGGAGCGAGAUUCAGGAGGAAGCUGACAGCAAACGUGCCCACCCUCAGUAGGGGAAGAUGAGCGGGAGGUGACGUGAGCAGUCUGAGCAAUGCCCCCAGCUUGGAUCUGCUGUAUCCUUUUUGGAAGUAGAGGAGAAUUUCAGGUUCUCAGACAGAUCCAUACUCAAAAGUGAGGUGCUGGGUUUUUUCAAUUAUGAAGCACAUAGAUUUUUUGUGACACUAAUGUCCCUCCCCAGUCAAUGGUGUGACAACCUGAAGCCCCUCUGUUCUGAUGGAGUGUUUUCUGUUUGAAAUAGAUGCUUUGGAGAA